UACGGAGGGUGCAAGCGUUAUCCGGAUUUACUGGGUUUAAAGGGUGCGUAGUGGGUUGGUAAGUCAGUGGUGAAAUACUUUCGCUUAACGAAGGAACUGCCAUUGAUACUACCAGUCUUGAAUACAGUGGAGGUAGGCGGAAUGCGUCAUGUAGCGGUGAAAUGCUUAGAUAUGACGCAGAACACCAAUUGCGAAGGCAGCUUGCUAACACUGUUAUUGACACUGAGGCACGGAAAGCGUGGGGAUCAAACGG
rnacentral:rRNA from 1 species